AACUCUCUGCCCUGCAGGUGAGGUCGCUAUGCCCACGCGGAAUAAUAUUCGAUCGGGAAGGUGUUUGUGAACGUGGUGUGCAUGCCCGACGCGGAGCGGGAAGCCUGAAGCCUUCACAGCCCUACCCACCUAGUUGGCCGUCGUCGUGAGGCCACGGACCCACGGCAGGAUGGAGAGUCU
rnacentral:other from 1 species